GACCUUUGAAAACACCAUUAACGGGAAACGCUCGUCAUCUUCUUGGGAACUCCCUUCUCUCUCUCUCUCUCUCUCUCUCUGUCUCUCUCAGAGUAUAUUAAUUCUUGUUUUUCUGUUAAGUCCCAUUGACUACUACUGUGUAGUAUAAAACUCUUCUCUUUCUCUGUGUCUUUAAUUACUUUCUCAUCUUCAAGUCUUGAAAUAGAAAAUGGUAACCAAACCCAAUAAGAAGAGAAAAGAAGAAGGAAAAGCAAUAUAUAUAUUAUGUAUAUAUGGAGUUUCUAGAGAUCUUUUGAUUCUAGUGGAAGCAUUUUUCUCGAGUUAUCGGAUUUUUGCUUGCUUCUGAGAGUUUUCUUUAAUUUCCGGCGAAGAAUUCACCGGAGAAGCUAAACUUUGGCGGCGUACAUGGGAAAGCCAGGCAGUUCUUCUUCUUCUUCUUCUUCUUCUUCUUGAUCUUGAUCUUGUUUAUGUUUAUGUUUUUUUUUUUCUUUUUUCCUUUUUGUUUUUUGGAUUUUGAUUAACUAAUAGUUGGGAUGAGAAAAGAGAGACAUAGUUUUACAAGAAAUGUAAACUGUUGUUAGAAUUCCAAGGCAGAUUAAUAGCAAUGAAAUAAUAUUUACAUUUGGCUCUCUCUUCUUGCAUUUUAAUUUAUAAUAUUUUGCUUUAUUUUUUUUACUAUAAUGUCUGUAAUUGAUUAAAAAAUAGCAAAAAAAAUUAUUAGGG
rnacentral:lncRNA from 1 species